rnacentral:tRNA from 1 species
GACGGUUUGGCCGAGUGGUCUAAGGCGCCAGAUUUAGGCUCUGGUCUGAAAGGGCGUGGGUUCAAAUCCCACAACGUCA